rnacentral:rRNA from 1 species
AACGAACGUUGGCGGCGUGGAUUAGGCAUGCAAGUCGUACGCGAAAGAGGGGGCAACUCCUCGAGUAAAGUGGCGAACGGGUGAGUAACGCGUAGGAAACCUGCCUUCGAGAUGGGGAUAACACUCCUAACGGGGUGCUAAUACCGAAUGACACUGCGGGAUCGCAUGGUUCUGCAGUCAAAGGUGGCCUCUGCUUGCAAGCUACCACUCAAAGAUGGUCCUGCGUCCCAUAGCUAGUUGGCGGGGUAACGGCCCACCAAGGCGACGAUGGGUAGCCGAUCUGAGAGGAUGACCGGCCACACUGGGACUGAGAUACGGCCCAGACUCCUACGGGAGGCAGCAGUCGAGAGGCUUCGGCAAUGGGGAAACCCUGACCGAGCGACGCCGCGUGGAGGAUGAAGGCCUUUGGGUUGUAAACUCCUGUCAUGUGGGAAGAAACGCCACCGUUCUAAUGGACGGUGGUUUGACGGUACCACAAGAGGAAGCUCCCGGCUAACUCCGUGCCAGCCGCCGCCGUAA